AUUGGAUUUGGCGGCACAAUAAACUUUUUAGAGGAACCUGUCCUAUAAAUGAUAGACCACGAGAAACUCUACUUUUUUUAGUAAUCAAUUUGUAUACCGUUGUUGUAAGUUAGUUUUUAUAGAAAGUUAACAAGGAUAAUAAAUUUAUUUACUUCAAAUAAAGGUGCAGUUUAUAGGAAUGUUGAGAUGGGUUACAUUCAAGGAGAGUUUGGAUUGUUAAAUGAAAAGUUGCAUGAAAAUGGAUUUAAUAGUAAGCUUAUAUAGAGCUGAAUUGAGCUCUAUAGUGUGUACACACCGCCCGUC
rnacentral:rRNA from 1 species